rnacentral:rRNA from 1 species
UACGGAGGAUGCAAGCGUUAUCCGGAAUGAUUGGGCGUAAAGCGUCCGUAGGUGGCGAUUCAAGUCUGCUGUUAAAGCGCAGGGCUUAACCCUGUAAAGGCGGUGGAAACUGGAGAGCUAGAGUGUGGUAGGGGUAGAGGGAAUUCCCGGUGUAGCGGUGAAAUGCGUAGAGAUCGGGAAGAACACCAGUGGCGAAGGCGGCUCACUGGUCCGGUACUGACGCUGAGGUGCGAAAGCGUGGGGAGCAAACAGG